AGUUUGUAGUAUUCUCCCCAAAGGACUGCUGAUUGGUCUCAAUCGCACAGCAAGAAUGUGACAACAACGCCAUGGUCUGUGUUUGAUCUCCAGAGGAGGCUUCCUCCUGGUCCGAAAGGUGCGACAGCCCCACUAGUUGCCCGCCCUGCCCAUCUGCUCUGCUCUGCUAUAUUGCAGCUUUUACGCGUGUCGUGUGUACUAGCCACAACAUAAUGGCAUGUUCCUUAAAAUUAGCUGUAAUUUGCACCAUCGACUCCAUACGUGCUGUGUGCAGACAACAGUCUCAAGAUUCAUUUAAGAGUACUUGUAUGUGCUGCUCAGAUCCCUGCUCGACACAUCAUGCCAAGCUCGUGGAUUGUGGUUGAGGAGCACGUGUUCGUCUGUCAGUGCCGCUUGAGUAGAACACAUCAGAGGAAGUGGAGAAGCACGUGAACGAGCGCAAUGGCGUCUCCACUGGAUCACGGG
rnacentral:lncRNA from 1 species